AAUGAACCGUGAGGCUUAACCUUACAACGCCGAAGAUGUUUUGGCGGAUGAGAGAAGAUUUUCAGCCUGAUACAGAUUAAAUCAGAACGCAGAAGCGGUCUGAUAAAACAGAAUUUGCCUGGCGGCCUUAGCG
rnacentral:rRNA from 1 species